GACGAACGCUGGCGGCGUGCUUAACACAUGCAAGUCGAACGGAAAGGCCCCUUUGGGGGUACUCGAGUGGCGCACGGGUGAGUAACACGUGAGUAACCUGCCCUUGACUUCGGGAUAACUUCAGGAAACUGGGGCUAAUACCGGAUAGGAAUCCUUGCUGCAUGGUGGGGGUUGGAAAGCUUCGGCGGUUUUGGAUGGACUCGCGGCUUAUCAGCUUGUUGGUGGGGUAGUGGCUUACCAAGGCUUUGACGGGUAGCCGGCCUGAGAGGGCGACCGGCCACAUUGGGACUGAGAUACGGCCCAGACUCCUACGGGAGGCAGCAGUGGGGAAUAUUGCACAAUGGGCGGAAGCCUGAUGCAGCAACGCCGCGUGCGGGAUGACGGCCUUCGGGCUGUAAACCGCUUUCAGCAGGGGCGAAGCUUGUGGUGACGGUACCUGCAGAAGAAGCACCGGCUAACUACGUG
rnacentral:rRNA from 1 species